CACUGGAGCAGCGUUGGGUCGGCCCUAACCCAGUCUUACUUCGCCACACACUGCAGCAGCGUUGGGUUGGCCCUAACCCAGUCUUACUUCACCACACACUGCAGCAGGCCGGCCACACGUACAGUUCAUAGCUAUCAGAUUAUGGAAAAAAAUCCUCCUCCGUAUGUGGACUCAGCCACAAAUCCUGAUGGGGCUGGACCUCCACAACAUCCUGCCCAGCUGGGCCCAGACCAACCUCCACCACCUCAAUAUGUGGUGAACCAACAUGGAAUAAACCAAUAUGGAAUAAACCAAUAUGGAAUGAACCCACAUGGAAUGAACCAAUAUGGAAUGAACCAACCAGCACCAGUGGUAUUAGUGGUACAACCAAGUUUGACUGAUGUCCCUGGUCGGAUUGAGUGUCCUCACUGCAAGUCCCACAUUGUGACUGAAACCAGACAUGUAAAUGGCGUUUUGACCUGGUUCCUAUGUGGUGGCCUCUUCAUGAUCUUUUGUUGGCCAUGUUCUUGCAUUCCGCUCUGUGUGGACUCCUGUAAGGAUGUGGAGCACAUUUGCCCAGAGUGCCACCUGGUAGUGCACCGCUACAGACGCUUGUGAAAACCCUGCCUGGUAGUGCACCGCUACAAACGCUUCACCAACAAAUCAUUACCAUGCACAUAAAACAAAACAUUCUAAUCCACUGAAAAUGGAAGGCACUUAUCUAAUUCUGUCUGUAUGUUUUGCAUGCAAUUAUGCUCAAAACUGAAUUGAAAAGCGUAAUGUAGUUGCAGCAGUGUAAAGAAAGAGCUUCUCAUCGGCUUAUGACAUUUUCCACGUCUCCACAAUCCAGUUUCCAGGUGGCUAAUGUUCAUUUGUAAGACAUUGGAUCUGGUGCUGGGAGCUGUGACCUCAAACAGUUACAGACAAGGAGUCUGGUGGUCGACCAAUUCCACCAUGGAUUGUGUCGUUUAGAGUGCUCAAGGCCUUACUCGGGGCACACAUGACUACAUUCCAAGAUCACUGCUCCGAGGCUUAUCAUCCACUCUGGGGACGCGGCUACAAUUAUCGAAUGUGGACAGGAGAGCGAAUCGUAACAAAAGUGUGUCAGAUACAAACCUAUCUGACAUAGUGUGGAUAUAAUCAGACAUAGUGUGGAUAUAAUCUGACAUAGUGUGGAUAUAAUCAGACAUAGUGUGGAUAUAAUCUGACAUAAUCUGACAUAGUGUGGAUAUAAUCCGACAUUCUUGCUUUUCUAGUCGCAUUGUGGUACUCUAGAAGAACACACAUUUCAAGGGGUGCUGUUUUGAUAUUCUAUUCAGCUCAUAGUCUGCAUGUCAUACUCAUAAUUAUGUUGAAUUAUGUUCCACAAACACUGUUAAAACAAUUGAAAAAUAAAGACAUCUUGUUCUUGUUGUCUAUGAUA